rnacentral:rRNA from 1 species
GAUGAACGCUGGCGGCGUGCCUAAUACAUGCAAGUCGAGCGAACAGACGAGGAACUUGUCCCUCUGACGUUAGCGGCGGACGGGUGAGUAACACGUGGAUAACCUACCUAUAAGACUGGGAUAACUUCGGGAAACCGGAGCUAAUACCGGAUAAUAUAUUGAACCGCAGGGUUCAAUAGUGAAAGACGGUUUUGCUGCCACUUAUAGAUGGAUCCGCGCCGCAUUAGCUAGUUGGUAAGGUAACGGCUUACCAAGGCAACGAUGCGUAGCCGACCUGAGAGGGUGAUCGGCCACACUGGAACUGAGACACGGUCCAGACUCCUACGGGAGGCAGCAGUAGGGAAUCUUCCGCAAUGGGCGAAAGCUUGACGGAGCAACGCCGCGUGAGUGAUGAAGGUCUUCGGAUCGUAAAACUCUGUUAUUAGGGAAGAACAAAUGUGUAAGUAACUAUGCACGUCUUGACGGUACCUAAUCAGAAAGCCACGGCUAACUACGUG